CUUGAGUUUGGAUCAUGGCUCAGAUUGAACGCUGGCGGCAGGCCUAACACAUGCAAGUCGAGCGGUAGAAAGUAGCUUGCUACUUUUGAGAGCGGCGGACGGGUGAGUAACGCGUGGGAAUCUACCUGGUAGUGGGGGACAACUUGGGGAAACUCAAGCUAAUACCGCAUACGCCCUACGGGGGAAAGGAGGGGCUCUUCGGACCUUUCGCUAUCAGAUGAGCCUGCGUAGGAUUAGCUAGUUGGUAGGGUAAAGGCCUACCAAGGCGACGAUCCUUAGCUGGUCUGAGAGGAUGAUCAGCCACACUGGGACUGAGACACGGCCCAGACUCCUACGGGAGGCAGCAGUGGGGAAUAUUGGACAAUGGGGGCAACCCUGAUCCAGCCAUGCCGCGUGUGUGAAGAAGGCCUUCGGGUUGUAAAGCACUUUCAGUGGUGAGGAAGGGUGUAAAGUUAAUACCUUUAUACAUUGACGUAGCCACCGAGAGCCG
rnacentral:rRNA from 1 species